rnacentral:rRNA from 1 species
AUUGAACGCUGGCGGCAUGCCUUACACAUGCAAGUCGAACGGUAACAGGUCUUCGGACGCUGACGAGUGGCGAACGGGUGAGUAAUGCAUCGGAACGUGCCCAGUCGUGGGGGAUAACUGCUCGAAAGAGCAGCUAAUACCGCAUACGACCUGAGGGUGAAAGCGGGGGACCGUAAGGCCUCGCGCGAUUGGAGCGGCCGAUGUCAGAUUAGCUAGUUGGUGGGGUAAAGGCCUACCAAGGCAACGAUCUGUAGUUGGUCUGAGAGGACGACCAGCCACACUGGGACUGAGACACGGCCCAGACUCCUACGGGAGGCAGCAGUGGGGAAUUUUGGACAAUGGGCGCAAGCCUGAUCCAGCAAUGCCGCGUGCAGGAAGAAGGCCUUCGGGUUGUAAACUGCUUUUGUCAGGGAAGAAAUCUUCUGGGCUAAUACCCCGGGAGGAUGACGGUACCUGAAGAAUAAACACCGGCUAACUACGU